rnacentral:rRNA from 1 species
CCUACGGGUGGCAGCAGUGAGGAAUAUUGGUCAAUGGACGCAAGUCUGAACCAGCCAUGCCGCGUGCAGGAAGACGGCUCUAUGAGUUGUAAACUGCUUUUGUACAAGGGUAAACGCAGACACGCGUACCUGUCUGAAUGUAUUUUAAGAAUAAGGAUCGGCUAACUCCGUGCCAGCAGCCGCGGUAAUACGGAGGAUCCAAGCGUUAUCCGGAUUUAUUGGGUUUAAAGGGUGCGUAGGCGGUCGGUUAAGUUAGAGGUGAAAUCUUGAGGCUCAACUUCGAAAUUGCCAUUGAUACUGGCAGGCUUGAGUAUAGUUGCGGUAGGCGGAA